CACCGCGGUUAUACGAGAGGCCCAAGUUGACAGAGAUCGGCGUAAAGAGUGGUUAAUCGACAAUAAACUAAAGCUGAACAUCUUCCAAGCUGUUAUACGCCCCCGAAGAGAGGAAAGCCCCCAACGAAAGUGGCUUUAACCUAAGAUGACUCCACGAAAGCUAGGACA
rnacentral:rRNA from 1 species